UGGGGAAUAUUAGACAAUGGGCGCAAGCCUGAUCCAGCCAUGCCGCGUGAGUGAUGAAGGCCCUAGGGUUGUAAAGCUCUUUCACCGGUGAAGAUAAUGACGGUAACCGGAGAAGAAGCCCCGGCUAACUUCGUGCCAGCAGCCGCGGUAAUACGAAGGGGGCUAGCGUUGUUCGGAUUUACUGGGCGUAAAGCGCACGUAGGCGGACUAUUAAGUCAGGGGUGAAAUCCCGGGGCUCAACCCCGGAACUGCCUUUGAUACUGGUAGUCUUGAGUUCGAGAGAGGUGAGUGGAAUUCCGAGUGUAGAGGUGAAAUUCGUAGAUAUUCGGAGGAACACCAGUGGCGAAGGCGGCUCACUGGCUCGAUACUGACGCUGAGGUGCGAAAGCGUGGGGAGCAAACAGG
rnacentral:rRNA from 1 species